rnacentral:rRNA from 1 species
UUAAAUUGAAGAGUUUGAUCAUGGCUCAGAUUGAACGCUGGCGGCAGGCCUAACACAUGCAAGUCGAGCGGAAACGACACUAACAAUCCUUCGGGUGCGUUAAUGGGCGUCGAGCGGCGGACGGGUGAGUAAUGCCUAGGAAAUUGCCUUGAUGUGGGGGAUAACCAUUGGAAACGAUG